AUCACUGGGAAGAUGGAGCCACAAAGCAGGAGAGGCCUAACUGCCAGCACAAGUGCGCCCUCCGGCUCUUUUCCACCUUUAUCUGGAUAGUUCUACAUUUACUCACUAUUGCCUCUGAGACAAGAACCGGGGGUGAAUACGAUGAAGAAGACUGUAACAUGCUGCACUGAAAAUAGGAGAAACCACAAACAUGUAAAGGACAGGGAAAUCCCACGUCGCUGUGUUUGCUGAAUUGGCUAUACAUGUAAGCUGCGGAUGACCAUCCAGAAUGUAUCCUGUUACACAGCUGUACCGUAUUUUAUCUCCUACAUCAAACUUGGAGCCAGACAGGACACCCUUGGGUGGGAUUCCAGGAUUUCCACAGGAGCUGCUCCGUAAUUCUGUGAAAAGAGAUUAAGCCAAUGGCAUAAGCAUUUUUGGAGUUCCGCGCUACCUGCCUACAGCAGCUUCAUCAUGUGCUGAGAGAAACGGACUGAUCGGUAUUCUCAAAGAAAAACAUUAAUUGAGAAUCAUGAAAGCAUAGAGGAUGCAACUGGUCAUGGGAUGUGAACAGCGCCCCUUGGGAAAACUGGACGCCUUUGAUGACCGAGACCAAGCAAACAUGGAAGGCAUAAAAGCCAGGCGGUGAGGAAGCACAGCGGUAGCGCAAGACAUAACACUCUCCCUUGGGAAGCUGCAGCCCCGGAGAUCAACUCUCUUUUGAUG